rnacentral:rRNA from 1 species
UACCAGCUCUCCGAGUGGUAGGGAUGAUUAUUGGGCUUAAAGCGUCCGUAGCCGGCUUAGCAAGUUUCCUGUUAAACUCAGCGACUCAAUCGUUGGAUCGCGGGAAAUACUACUAGGCUAGGAGGCGGGAGAGGUCAACGGUACUUCUGGGGUAGGGGUGAAAUCCUAUAAUCCCGGGAGGACCACCAGUGGCGAAGGCUGUUGACUAGAGCGCGCUCGACGGUGAGGGACGAAAGCUGGGGGAGCGAACCGGAUUAGAUACCCGGGUAGUCCCAGCUGUAAACGAUGCGAGCUAGGUGUUGGGAUGGCUACGGGCCAUUUCAGUGCCGCAGGGAAGCCAUUAAGCUCGCCGCCUGGGGAGUACGGCCGCAAGGCUGAAACUUAAAGGAAUUGGCGGGGGAGCACCACAAGGCGUGAAGCUUGCGGUUC